rnacentral:rRNA from 1 species
CAGGCCUAACACAUGCAAGUCGAGCGGUAACACAGGGAGCUUGCUCCCGGGUGACGAGCGGCGGACGGGUGAGUAAUGUCUGGGAAACUGCCUGAUGGAGGGGGAUAACUACUGGAAACGGUAGCUAAUACCGCAUAACGUCGCAAGACCAAAGAGGGGGACCUUCGGGCCUCUUGCCAUCAGAUGUGCCCAGAUGGGAUUAGCUAGUAGGUGGGGUAACGGCUCACCUAGGCGACGAUCCCUAGCUGGUCUGAGAGGAUGACCAGCCACACUGGAACUGAGACACGGUCCAGACUCCUACGGGAGGCAGCAGUGGGGAAUAUUGCACAAUGGGCGCAAGCCUGAUGCAGCCAUGCCGCGUGUAUGAAGAAGGCCUUCGGGUUGUAAAGUACUUUCAGCGGGGAGGAAGGUGUUGAGGUUAAUAACCUCAGCAAUUGACGUUACCCGCAGAAGAAGCACCGGCUAACUCCGUGCCAGCAGCCGCGGUAAU